rnacentral:rRNA from 1 species
GAACGCUGGCGGCGCGCCUAAUACAUGCAAGUCGAGCGAGAAGACGUAGCAAUACGUUUGUAAAGCGGCGAACGGGUGAGGAAUACAUGGGUAACCUACCCUCGAGUGGGGAAUAACUAGCCGAAAGGUUAGCUAAUACCGCGUACGCUCCUUGGACUUCGGUUCAGGGAGGAAAGCGAUACCGUGGGUAUCGCGCUCUUGGAUGGGCUCAUGUCCUAUCAGCUUGUUGGUGAGGAACGGCUCACCAAGGCUUCGACGGGUAGCUGGUCUGAGAGGACGAUCAGCCACACUGGCACUGCGACACGGGCCAGACUCCUACGGGAGGCAGCAGUAAGGAAUAUUGCGCAAUGGGCGAAAGCCUGACGCAGCGACGCCGCGUGGGGGAUGAAGGUCUUCGGAUUGUAAACCCC